AUUGAACGCUGGCGGCAGGCCUAACACAUGCAAGUCGAACGAGUGGCGGACGGGUGAGUAAUGUCUGGGAAACUGCCUGAUGGAGGGGGAUAACUACUGGAAACGGUAGCUAAUACCGCAUACCAUCGGAUGUGCCCAGAUGGGAUUAGCUAGUAGGUGGGGUAAAGGCUCACCUAGGCGACGAUCCCUAGCUGGUCUGAGAGGAUGACCAGCAAAACGGGGCGUGAGACACGUCCCAGACGCGUACGGGAGGCAGUAGUGGGGAAUAUUGCACAAUGGGCGCAAGCCUGAUGCAGCCAUGUGGCGGGUGUGAAGAAGGCCUUCGUGUUGUAAAGUACUUUCCGCGGGGAGGCGUUACCCGCAGAAGAAUCACUGGCUAACUCCGUGCCAGCAGCCUCGGUAAUUC
rnacentral:rRNA from 1 species